UCAGCACCAUAAAUUGAAAUUAACUCCAUGUUUUCAGAUGGUGUUCCAAGCAAAAGACGAUAGAAUCCAUUGGCAUUCCCACUACAAGUGAAGUGAUUACAGCCCACAAUUUGGCCAAUGAGGAAAUGCUCUAUGGAGUUAAGUUUCUAUGUACAGUAUUGAUGAACAGACCCAUUCACCUGUUACAAGUACCCAGACAGUACAGAACAUUAGCAAAGUCAUGGGCCCACAGGAGUAGGUGGGCAGAAUCUCAGAAGCAGAAGCUAAACUCAAAAAUUCAGCACAUUUAUUUGAUGCUGUGGUCUUGUAGAAGUCUCCUCCCCAAAUCUCGUCAAAAGAUAAAUGUAUUACACUGGUAGUUCUCCAAUCUGCAGGCACUUUUCCGUAAUCUAAGGAUUCCUGGAAGACUACUACGAAUGCACUCACGUUCUCUGUAGCUACUUCUUUUAAUAUCUUAGGAUGCAUCCCAUCAGAUCCAGGGAACAGAUCAGUCUUCAGCCCCAGUAUUUUCAUUUUGCGACAGUUACUGUAUUUAUUUACUCUUGCCUUUUUAACCCCUUGAUUAUUUAGAAUUUUUGGAAUGCUAUUAGUGCUUUCUAUAGCGAAGAGUGAUUACUUAUUCAACUUCUGUCAUGUCCUCGUUCCGUAUUAUUAUCUAACUU